UGGGGAAUAUUGGACAAUGGGGGCAACCCUGAUCCAGCCAUGCCGCGUGUGUGAAGAAGGUCUUCGGAUUGUAAAGCACUUUAAGUUGGGAGGAAGGGUUCGUUACUAAUAUUAGCGAGCUUUGACGUUACCGACAGAAUAAGCACCGGCUAACUUCGUGCCAGCAGCCGCGGUAAUACGAAGGGUGCAAGCGUUAAUCGGAAUUACUGGGCGUAAAGCGCGCGUAGGUGGUUCGUUAAGUUGGGAGUGAAAUCCCCGGGCUCAACCUGGGAAUUGCUUCCAAAACUGGCGAGCUAGAGUAUGGUAGAGGGUGGUGGAAUUUCCUGUGUAGCGGUGAAAUGCGUAGAUAUAGGAAGGAACAUCAGUGGCGAAGGCGACCACCUGGACUAAUACUGACACUGAGGUGCGAAAGCGUGGGGAGCAAACAGG
rnacentral:rRNA from 2 species